rnacentral:ncRNA from 1 species
ACAAAAGGGGAGCUUGCGCACGCAGGCUGAGAACGGACGCUGAGUCCGGACCCGUUGACCUGAUUUGGAUAAUGCCAACGUAGGGAUAUACAGAC